rnacentral:rRNA from 1 species
UACGUAGGUGGCAAGCGUUGCCCGGAAUUAUUGGGCGUAAAGCGCGCGCAGGUGGUUCUUUAAGUCUGAUGUGAAAGCCCACGGCUCAACCGUGGAGGGUCAUUGGAAACUGGGGAACUUGAGUGCAGAAGAGGAAAGUGGAAUUCCAAGUGUAGCGGUGAAAUGCGUAGAGAUUUGGAGGAACACCAGUGGCGAAGGCGACUUUCUGGUCUGUAACUGACACUGAGGCGCGAAAGCGUGGGGAGCAAACAGG